CAGAGAUGUGAGCAGCACUCACUCCUCACUCAGACCCUCAUAAGACAGGUUUUGACCUGGGCAUUGGCCGAUCAGAGGAUGUCACCCAUCCUGGAAGUUCUGCUCUGAAAUGCCCUACUGCAAUCACUGGCUCAUUUCAACACGCGGAGAGAAAGAGCGCCAGCCUCCUUGGAAGGGACAGCGUUCCAGCACCAACAAAGCCUCAUUGUUUCCUGCCCAGAGAGCCUGGAAGCAGUGGUGACCCCAAAGCAGUCCCUUUGGAAAGGGAAAACUGCUUUGCAAUAAUAAUUAUUCCUAGAGUUCAAAAGACUAAGCCUUUCCCUGAAAGAAAUCAAAUGAUUAAAAAUUCGCACAACAGCUGGCUGGGCUUGAAUGAAGACGUCAAUUACACUGAUAAGGAAGAAAGGAAUGGUGCCUUCCAAUGCUUCAAAGGAACAGCCAUGUAUAAAUGUGUUUGGGCUUUGUAAAAAUAGAUCUGCAGUGCUAUGAUCGGCCUAAUUAAUGUUCCUCUUUUGUGU